UGGCUGUCUAUAGAAUAAGAAUUCAAAAAAUAAAUUUUUUUGUUAAAAAAAUUAAAGGUUAUAAAUUGACCAGCAUAGAAAUAAUGGAAUGAACAGAAUAAUUUUUUUUUAAUUGAGACAGAAUCUUGUUUGUUGCCUAGGCUGGAGUACAGUGGCACAAUCUCAGCUCACUACAACCUCUACCUCCUGGGUUCAAGCGAUUAUCCUGACUCAGCCUCCCAAGUAGCUGGAAUUACAGGAGAGUUAGCCCAUGUUGAAUUUUGGGAAGAGGACCAGCCUGACGCAUAUACACUUUUCUCAGGUGACUCCGAGCACAACCAAUUUUCUACUUUGACACUGACCAUUUGAAAUAAAAUUAUGGAUGCUGACUUAUCAUUUGUUUACCUUUGUAUUAUCCAUAAUAUUCCAUAUGACAUUACUUUAGUAGGAAUGCUUCUCAGUCUCUGUAUUUUUUUUUUUUUUGACGCUUCAUGAAAGCUGUUUCUCCUAUGUGCCAAGAAAAAUCUCAACACUACAGAAGAGAAGUACACAUGGAACCUUAAAAAAUACCAACAGUUGCCACAAUUAAUAGGGUUAUUUUAUCCUGUAAAAAGGGAAUCUGGGCUGUGUGCAGUGGCUGCUGCCUAUAAUCCUAGCAUUUUUGGAAGCCGAGGCAGGCAGUCACCUGGGCUCAGGAGUUUGAGACCAGCUUGGCCCACAUGGUGAAACCCUGUCUGUAGUAAAAAUACAAAAAUUAGCCAGGCUAAUUUUUUACAGGUGGUGAGCACCUGUAAUCCCAGCUACUCACGAGGCUGAGGCAGAAGAAUCACUUGAAACUGAGAGAGGAAGUUGCAGUGAGCCCAGGUUGCACCACUGCACUCCAGCCUUGGCAACAAAGCAAAACUGUCUCAAAAAAAAAAAAAGGAAUCCUUUGGCAUAAUCUACAAUCCGAUCAGGGGAUUAUCAAAUUUAUAAGAACUUCAUAAAAAGACAAACAGUUGGGAAACAUACGUAUUUAUUUGGCAGCUUUAUUUGAACAAAGGUCUUCUUUGACAUGGCCAGUUUGGAGGCCUAAUGGAUAAAUGAACAAUUUCCCCCACAUAGAGGAGAAGAAAGGAUAAACACAAAUUACCUGUUGUGGUGACAACAGCCACAUUAGCCCUUGCAAUUUGAGAUUACUGAAAAAUAGAUUGUGGUGAGAAUUGCUAGUUGGCCAUUUAGUUUGCAUAUCUUCUCCUCUUUCUUAUUGGCAGAAUCUCAUUUUAUCCAAGGAGGCAACAUGCCCAGCUAAGCGAUGGUGUUUCCUAGUUGUCUUAGUCUGUUUUAUGUUGCUAUAACAAAAUACCACAGACUAGGUAAUUAAUAAAGAAAAGUUUAUUUGGCUUAUGGUUCUUGAGCCUGGGAAGUCAAAGGGAAUGGUGCCAGCGUCUGCUUAGCAUCUGGAGAGGGCCUUCUUGGCAUCAUCCCAUGGAUAAAGGUGAAAGCAGGAAAGCACGCACAAGAGACAACAAGAGAUCAAACUUGCAACCUCAAGCCAUUUCAUAAUUUUCAUUAAUCCAGUCAUGAGAGUGGAGCCCUCCUGACCUAAACACCUCCCAUUAGGCCCCACCUCCAGUGCUAUUGCAUUGGUGAUUGAGUUUUCAAUACACACUUUUUGGGGAGCACAUUUAAACCAUAGCACUAGUCUUUCUGCAAGUUUCUAUGACUGAGGCUUAAAUGGAAGUAAUUGAGGUGGGGCUUCUGGGACUGCUCUUUAAAGGGAGCCAGUUCCCCAGGGAGGGUGGUCAUUCGUAGCCCUCUCCACCACUAACAAACCACUUUUUCUUUCUGACUGAAACAAGCACAUGAUAGACAGUAGCACCCUAGCAGCCAUCCGAGAUUUUGAAGAUGAAUAAGUGACACCAAGGAUGAGAAGGUGAACGUGGAGCGCUGGACUUCCCAUCUCUAGAUCUUUUAUACUAGAGAGAAAAGGAAACCUGUGUCUUUUUAGUGUCAUGAUUAUUUGGAUUUUUGUUCAGAAGGUUCUGACAAACCUAACACUAAUUUAAAAGCUGAUCAAGAAAUUAUUAUAAAUUUAUUGAGUACUUUCUAUUCUUAAAAUUUGGGAUAUGUCCUUUCAUUAAUAGAGACACAUAAGAGAUUAUCCUUGCUCUCUGUUUUGAAAACUUAUUUUAAGAAAUAAGACUGAUAUGGAACACAAUGCUGUGUCAAAACUCUGUCAGAAACACACACAAACUUACACAACACAUCAUACUUCCUUUGUGGUGACACUCUCCACAUGACUUUUCUAUCUUAAUAAUACUGUAAGGUUCUUGAACAAGAAGCUGGGUCUAAUUCUUACAUCAAGUAAUCAAUAAAAGCAUUACCGCUAUGACACAAUGAAAAUGAUAUGUGAGUUUUCCUGCCAUUCUGCUUACCUUUUAUAGCUAGAGAUAAUUCCAGCUUGAUUUAUCAUGUCUUGCCUACUUCCUUUCCUAACAUUCAAGAAACUCCUGCUUAACCACUUAAGUGCUUGGACUCUUGCAACAGAGAAUCAGGAUGCAGUAGGAGAAUAGUAUUAUGUUGGUGCAAAGGUACUUGCAGUUUUUGCCAUUACCUUCUAUAACAAAAACCACAAUUGCUUUUGCACCAACCUAAUAGUUCAAGGAACUACUAC
ensembl:lncRNA